GUUUUUACCCCAUGAGAAAUGCAUCGAGAUUUCGAGAAAAUCCUAGAAACAGAACAUUGGAUAGUUCUUUUAUUCGCAUAAAAUUUUUGGCAAAAACUGUAUAUUGUCACUGUGGGAUGCUUUUAACAAAUCGUCCGAAAUGUUGCAUUUUCGGAUUCGUGGCAUUAAUCUUCAACUAUAAACUUGCGUACACGAGGAAAAAUUAGGAAAAUUCCGACUUCCUUGCAUGAAAUAAAUGCACGAUCGUUUUAAAUUCGUUGGAAACGGGUCAAGAUCGAGGUAGUAUGCAUGAAUCGAGCAACUAAACAACUGAACUGUUUAUUUGCAAAUAAUUUAGAAAUAGAAUUUAGAAUAGGAAUCUUUUCGAGAAAAAUUUUCGCUGCAACAACGAAUCGUUUAAAUCAUCGUUGACGUAGAACAUUUGGAAAAAGUUAAGCAAAAA